AGAGUUUGAUUAUGGCUCAGGAUGAACGCUAGCGGCAGGCUUAACACAUGCAAGUCGAGGGGCAACGCGAGUAGCAAUACUUGGCGGCGACCGGCGCAAGGGUGCGUAACGCGUGAGCAACAUGCCCGUAUCAGGGGGAUAAUCCAGGGAAACUUGGUCUAAUACCCCAUAGUAAUUUUGUAAGGCAUCUUAUAAGAUUUAAAGCUUUGGUGGAUACGGAUUGGCUCGCGUGACAUUAGCUGGAUGGUAAGGUAACGGCUUACCAUGGCUAUGAUGUCUAGGGGUUCUGAGAGGAAGGUCCCCCACACUGGAACUGAGACACGGUCCAGACUCCUACGGGAGGCAGCAGUGAGGAAUAUUGGACAAUGGAUGGAAAUCUGAUCCAGCCAUGCCGCGUGAAGGAAGAAGGUCCUAUGGAUUGUAAACUUCUUUUGUAUGGGAGCAAUAAGGCCUACGAGUAGGUUGAUGAGAGUACCAUACGAAUAAGCACCGGCUAACUCCGUGCCAGCCGCGGC
rnacentral:rRNA from 1 species